rnacentral:lncRNA from 1 species
CAUGGACUCACAGGGGCUGGCAGAAUACCUCACGCACAAGUCAGUGCCAUCAGAUAGCCCGUGGCAUUCAUCACAGAGGCAGAAAACAGAGUGAGGCAGUCACAGCAUGAUUUGUUUCCAUCGUUGACAAGAGACUAAGCCCAUCGGACAAGCACUUCAGAAGGUUCGACCUGGCAUUGAAACAGGAAGGGACCCGUAAGUGGUCGCAGACAGUGGGGUCCUCCCAGCAAGAAGAUGGCAAAGCCCAAGGACCCCAGUGCCAAGGUGUUGCAGCCAGCAGCAUACCUGAGACAGGGGGAUCUCAGCCAGCGCCACCUGAAGCUUGGCCUCCCCUUGGUGCGGGCAUUGCAGCGAAAAAAAAUGUGCAGGACGAUGGUGAAGCGGUCAAACACCUCCGCGGCCCAGGCUGCCUCCAGCUCUUUCUAGAAAGGAGAGGCUCCUCCCUUCUCUCUCUUCCUGGCUGCCAUGGCACGGGCGUCUUUCCUCCCCAACACCCAUCUGCCAUGAGCGUUCUUGCCUUGGAGCAGCUGGGCAUGGACUGAAACCCCCUGAGACCACUGGAGCAGCCAGCUAUGCAACCCUCUAAAACUAUGAGUGCUGGAACUGUUUAGACGAUGGGACUCUUGGAGAGAAGAUGAAUGUGUUUUGCAUUGAGAUGGACACACGCACUUGGGAGCCAGGGCGGGAAUGUUAUGGUUGGGAUCUGGCAUUGAAGGCUUAGACCCUGUAGGGAGGCGGUGGAACCUUUAAGGGGCGUGGCCUAGUGGGAGGAAGUGAGGUCACUGGGGGUGUGGCUAUAUGGGCAUAUGAGGACCCCAGGCGCUUCCACGCUCUCUCCUUCUUGGCCACCAUGAUGUGAGCAGCUUUGCCCCACCCCUCCCAACCGCCGUGAUGUUUCUGCCUCAUCACAGGCCUAAAAGCAGUGGAACCCGACAACCAUGGACUAAAACCUCUGAGACCAUGAGCCAAAAUAAACCUUCCCUUUUUCGUUUUUGUGAGACAGGGUCUUGUCAUGCAGUUGGUGCUGAGCUUGAACUCACUAUGCAGCCCAGGCUGGCCUCACAGUGACAGGGAUUCUCCUGCCUCAGCCUCCUGAGUGCUGGGACGGAGGUGUGUGGCACCACGCCUGG